AUACAGCGAUGAUUCAAGAGGUUGCCGGACUUCCGGGUAAUUCUUGUUGAGCACGUUAGAAUCUAGAAUUCGACGA
rfam:Clostridium intestinale TRNW genomic scaffold scaffold1, whole genome shotgun sequence.